ACAAGCGGUGGAGCAUGUGGUUUAAUUCGUAUGAUACGCGAAGAACCUUACCGGGGUUUGACGUGCAGGUGAUCGCCGUUGAAAGACGGUUUCCUCUUCGGAGGCACCUGCACAGGUGCUGCAUGGCUGUCGUCAGCUCGUGUCGUGAGAUGUUGGGUUAAGUCCCGCAACGAGCGCAACCCUUGUCCUUAGUUGCCAGCCAUUAAGUUGGGCACUCUAAGGAGACUGCCGGUGUUUAAACCGGAGGAAGGUGGGGAUGACGUCAAGUCCUCAUGGCCUUUAUGACCAGGGCUACACACGUACUACAAUGGCCGGUACAAAGGGCAGCCACUUAGCGAUAAGGAGCCAAUCCCGUAAAGCCGGUCUCAGUCCGGAUUGGAGUCUGCAACUCGACUCCAUGAAGUUGGAAUCGCUAGUAAUCGCAGAUCAGCACGCUCGCGGUCGAAUACGUUCCGGGCCUU
rnacentral:rRNA from 1 species